ensembl:lncRNA
GUGUGCUGUUUUCGGCAGCGGGACCACACUGACCGUCCUGGGUGAGUCUCCCUCCUCCCUUCUCUCCCUCUUCUUUCCCCGAGGUAUGGACACUUUUCUGUCACUCUGCUCUUUUUUGUGCCCAGUGUCAGCCUGUGGUCAAGCCUUCACCCAGAACUCUCCUCUGGGGCCCUCCCCUCUUCCCGUCCCCUCACCCCAGGCUUGUACUACUUGGCACUGAGGUCCCACCAGAGCCUCCCCUCUGACCCCAGAGGCAGGGGAAUGAGCAGGCUGACCUACAGACUUGUCUGUCUGGCUCCGGGACCUCGCUCUCUGCUGUCCCAUCAACCCCCAGUCUGGGUUCUAUGCCACCCAGCUUUGUCUCUGACGGUCACUUGAGCCCCAUCUCAUGGCAAAGAGGGAACUGGAUUGCAGAUGAGGGACCGUGGGCAGACAUCAGAGGGACACAGAACCCUCAAGGCUGGGGACCAGAGUCAGAGGGCCAGGAAGGGCUGGGGACCUUGGGUCUAGGGAUCCGGGUCAGGGACUCGGCAGAGGUGGAGGGGCUCCAUCAGGCCUCCUUGGGGCUGCCGUGCAGAUCCUGGGCUGGCCAGGGACCCAGGGAAAGUGCAAGAGGGAAGACGGGGGAGGAGAAGGUGCUGAACACAGAACUGGGGAAAGAGAUAGGAGGUCAGGAUGCAGGGGACACGGACUCCUGAGUCUGCAGACAACACUCCUCAGAAGCAGGAGUCCCUGAGGAAGCAGAGAGACAGGUACCAGGGUAGGAAACCUCCAGGCCCAAGAAGAAUCAGAGAGGAACCUGAGCUCAGAUCUGCGGAUGGGGGGACCGAGGACAGGCAGACAGGCUCCCCCUCGACCAGCACAGAGGCUCCAAGGGACACAGACUUGGAGACCAACGGACGCCUUCGGGCAACGGCUCGAACACACAUGUCAGCUCAAAAUAUACCUGGACUGACUCACAGGAGGCCAGGGAGGCCACAUCAUCCACUCAGGGGACAGACUGCCAGCCCCAGGCAGACCCCCGUCAACCAUCAGACGGGCAGGCAAGGAGAGUGAGGGUCAGAUGUCUGUGUGGGAAACCAAGAACCAGGGGGUCUCAGGACAGCGCUGGCAGGGGUCCAGGCUCAGGCUUUCUCAGGAAGAUGGGGAGGUGCCUGAGAAAACCCCACCCACCUUCCCUGGCACAGGCCCUCUGGCUCACAGUGAUGCCUGGACUCGGGGUCCUGCUGGGCUCUCAAAGGAUCCUGUGUCCCCCUGUGACACAGACUCAGGGGCUCCCAUGACGGGCACCAGACCUCUGAUUGAGUGAUCUUCUUCCCCUCGCCCACUUUGCAGCGACUUCUACCCGGGUAGCGUGACCGUGGUCUGGAAGGCAGACGGCAGCACCAUCACCCGCAACGUGGAGACCACCCGGGCCUCCAAACAGAGCAACAGCAAGUACGCGGCCAGCAGCUACCUGAGCCUGACGAGCAGCGACUGGAAAUCGAAAGGCAGUUACAGCUGCGAGGUCACGCACGAGGGGAGCACCGUGACGAAGACAGUGAAGCCCUCAGAGUGUUCUUAGGGCCCUGGACCCCCACCCUCGGGGGCCCUCUGGCCCACACCCCCUCCCCCACCUCUCCAUGGACCCCUGAGCCCCUACCCAGGUCGCCUCACACCAGGGGCCUCUCCUCCCUCCCUGUUCCUGCUUCUCCUGAAUAAAGACCUUCUCAUUUAUCAGCCGACAUGUCUGAAGUGCUUUCUG